AUUUUUAUGUUAUUUUUUAAACAUACUAUGGGCAGCUGGUGAGGCACGCUUAUACACAGUGAUUUAAAAAGAACGGUACAAAACUGUAUAAGAACAGCUUUACUUUUGCACCAUUCUUUUUAAAAUACUCCACACAAUUUCCCUGUUUCUCUCUGUUUUAUUUUUCAUUCAUGCUCAGUAAGGGAUUCUGGAGGUGUCAAAUGUUUACAUUGCCUGUGAAGGCAAAGAUCAAUAAGAUGAGAAUCACCUUCUUUCCCACCUUAAACUUUAUUGCAUUGUUUAUUACAGAAACACACCUACAACCUGAUACUGAAAAUCUGUGUUUCCCCAGCCCUCCUUCACCAUCCUUCCAAAGCCAGUGGUGCUAGGCAGAGGGUAAAGGCAGUUUUAUAUUACAAGAAGCUCAAGGAGACAGCGGUGGACCUCUAGUGUGCUAUGUCCAAGAUGAAAACAAGUUUUAUCAGAUAGGAAUCACAAGUCAUGGCUAUGGUUGUGGCCGACCAAGGUUUCCAGGAAUUUAUUCAUUCACACCUGUUGAAAAGCACAGCCCAAGAAGGGAGAGGAAAAUACUGCAAUUGAAGAACUAGCCAUGCAACUUUCCAUCGCUGAGAAAGAUUUGGCUUAUGGUCUCCACCUCCAUAAAGGACUUCUGACAAAAGAUAGGAUGCACAUGAUGUUGAUUGUUAAGAUUGUGUUUGCUAGAAAUAUGGCACACCUGAUCAGGAAGAUUUUAAAUUGCAUCCUCUGAUGCAGUUUUGAAGAACAAGACACCAGAUAUUAGGGGUGAUAAUGUCAGUGAUGCAAGAGAAACUGGAUACAUGAUAUAUGAACUCACCAAUGGGAAGGGGAGGAAAGGGAAGCAGCUGGAGGAAUUGACCCAUGGUUCAGGUAUCUCUACACUGAUGCACAGAGCACAGUAAAUAAACAAUCAGUUCUUAAUAUAGAAAGACAAGUUACAGUAUAGGCAUUACUAAAACCUGAUGAGAUAAUUGAGGGAUAUAACGUACAGUAUUUACUAGACCCAACAGAAGGGUGGAGGGAGAAGCAGCAUUAUAUGUAAUGGAAUGUAUACAUCUGUGGAAAUCCAUGAGUAGGAUGAUGGACAGUAGAAUGACAGUACUGGGGUAAACAUUAUACCAGCGGUAAACAAUAGGAACAGUAAUAAUAAUAAUAAUAAUAAUGUUUAUUUAUAUACCGCUUUUCCAAAUUAGAUCAAA